rnacentral:rRNA from 1 species
AUUGAACGCUGGCGGAAUGCUUUACACAUGCAAGUCGAACGGCAGCACGGGGCAACCUGGUGGCGAGUGGCGAACGGGUGAGUAAUACAUCGGAACGUGCCCAGUCGUGGGGGAUAACGUAGCGAAAGUUACGCUAAUACCGCAUACGAUCUAAGGAUGAAAGCGGGGGAUCGCAAGACCCCGCGCGAUUGGAGCGGCCGAUGUCAGAUUAGGUAGUUGGUGGGGUAAAGGCCCACCAAGCCGACGAUCUGUAGCUGGUCUGAGAGGACGACCAGCCACACUGGGACUGAGACACGGCCCAGACUCCUACGGGAGGCAGCAGUGGGGAAUUUUGGACAAUGGGCGCAAGCCUGAUCCAGCCAUUCCGCGUGCAGGAUGAAGGCCUUCGGGUUGUAAACUGCUUUUGUACGGAGCGAAAAGGCUCUCUCUAAUACAGGGGGCUCAUGACGGUACCGUAAGAAUAAGCACCGGCUAACUACGUGCCAGCCGCCGCAGUAA